rnacentral:rRNA from 1 species
CCUACGGGUGGCAGCAGUGAGGAAUAUUGGUCAAUGGACGAGAGUCUGAAGCAGCCAAGUAGCGUGAAGGAUGACUGCCCUAUGGGUUGUAAACUUCUUUUAUAUGGGAAUAAAAUGUUCCACGUGUGGGAUUUUGUAUGUACCAUAUGAAUAAGGAUCGGCUAACUCCGUGCCAGCAGCCGCGGUAAUACGGAGGAUCCGAGCGUUAUCCGGAUUUAUUGGGUUUAAAGGGAGCGCAGGUGGUUUGUUAAGUCAGUUGUGAAAGUUUGGGGCUCAACCGUAAAAUUGCAGUUGAUACUGGCAGUCUAGAGUACAGUAGAGGUGGGUGGAAUUCGUGGUGUAGCGGUGAAAUGCUUAGAGAUCUCGAAGAAUUCCGAUUGCGAAGGCAGCUCACUGGACUGAAACUGACACUGAGGCUCGAAAGUGUGGGGAUCAAACAGGAUUAGAUACCCUAGUAGUC